rnacentral:ncRNA from 2 species
ACGUGUGAAGGAGUGGUUUUAUUAAAAAAGUGGAAACAAGGAAACACUUUAUUUAGUAAAACCUUAAA